GAGUUUGAUCCUGGCUCAGAACGAACGCUGGCGGCAGGCCUAAUACAUGCAAGUCGAGCGCGCCCUUCGGGGUGAGCGGCGGACGGGUGAGUAACGCGUGGGAAUAUGCCCUUCUCUAAGGAAUAGCCUCUGGAAACGGAGAGUAAUACCUUAUACGCCCUUUGGGGGAAAGAUUUAUCGGAGAAGGAUUAGCCCGCGUUAGAUUAGGUAGUUGGUGGGGUAAUGGCCUACCAAGCCUACGAUCUAUAGCUGGUUUGAGAGGAUGAUCAGCCACACUGGGACUGAGACACGGCCCAGACUCCUACGGGAGGCAGCAGUAGGGAAUCUUAGACAAUGGGGGCAACCCUGAUCUAGCCAUGCCGCGUGUGUGAUGAAGGCCCUAGGGUCGUAAAGCACUUUCGCCAGAGAUGAUAAUGACAGUAUCUGGUAAAGAAACCCCGGCUAACUCCGUGCCAGCAGCCGCGGUAAUACGGAGGGGGUUAGCGUUGUUCGGAAUUACUGGGCGUAAAGCGCACGUAGGCGGAUUAGUAAGUUAGAGGUGAAAUCCCAGGGCUCAACCCUGGAACUGCCUUUAAUACUGCUAGUCUUGAGUUCGAGAGAGGUAAGUGGAAUUCCGAGUGUAGAGGUGAAAUUCGUAGAUAUUCGGAGGAACACCAGUGGCGAAGGCGGCUUACUGGCUCGAUACUGACGCUGAGGUGCGAAAGUGUGGGGAGCAAACAGGAUUAGAUACCCUGGUAGUCCACACCGUAAACGAUGAAUGCCAGACGUCAGCAAGUAUACUUGUUGGUGUCACACCUAACGGAUUAAGCAUUCCGCCUGGGGAGUACGGUCGCAAGAUUAAAACUCAAAGGAAUUGACGGGGG
rnacentral:rRNA from 1 species